rnacentral:rRNA from 1 species
CACGUAGGGUGCGAGCGUUGUCCGGAAUUAUUGGGCGUAAAGAGCUCGUAGGCGGCUUGUCACGUCGGGGUGUGAAAGCCCGGGGCUUAACCCCGGGUCUGCAUUCGAUACGGGCUAGCUAGAGUGUGGUAGGGGAGACUGGAAUUCCUGGUGUAGCGGUGAAAUGCGCAGAUAUCAGGAAGAACACCGGUGGCGAAGGCGGGUCUCUGGGCCGAAUACUGACGCUGGAGGAGCGAAAGCGUGGGGAGCGAACAGG